GAGCAAUCUGCCUUUCAGAGGGGGAUACCGAUUGGAAACGAUCGUUAAUACCGCAUAAUAUAAUUGAACCGCAUGAUUUGAUUAUCAAAGAUUUAUCGCUGAAAGAUGAGCUCGCGUCUGAUUAGCUAGUUGGUAAGGUAACGGCUUACCAAGGCGACGAUCAGUAGCCGGACUGAGAGGUUGAUCGGCCACAUUGGGACUGAGACACGGCCCAGACUCCUACGGGAGGCAGCAGUGGGGAAUAUUGCACAAUGGAGGAAACUCUGAUGCAGCGAUGCCGCGUGAGGGAAGAAGGUUUUAGGAUUGUAAACCUCUGUCUUCAGGGACGAAAAAUGACGGUACCUGAGGAGGAAGCUCCGGCUAACUACGUGCCAGCAGCCGCGGUAAUACGUAGGGAGCGAGCGUUGUCCGGAAUUACUGGGUGUAAAGGGAGCGUAGGCGGGAUCGCAAGUCAGAUGUGAAAACUAUGGGCUUAACCCAUAAACUGCAUUUGAAACUGUGGUUCUUGAGUGAAGUAGAGGUAAGCGGAAUUCCUAGUGUAGCGGUGAAAUGCGUAGAUAUUAGGAGGAACAUCAGUGGCGAAGGCGGCUUACUGGGCUUUAACUGACGCUGAGGCUCGAAAGCGUGGGGAGCAAACAGGAUUAGAUACCCUGGUAGUCCACGCCGUAAACGAUGAUUACUAGGUGUGGGGGGACUGACCCCUUCCGUGCCGCAGCAAACGCAAUAAGUAAUCCACCUGGGGAGUACGACCGCAAGGUCGAAACUCAAAGGAAUUGACGGGGGCCCGCACAA
rnacentral:rRNA from 1 species